GAUGGCUGAGGAAGAGCAAAAUUUCAACUUGACAAUCACAGAUGACUGCUGAAGCAGAUACAACCACUGAGGCAAAAAUCUGAUUGCAAGGAACCUGAACUCCCUGACUUGAACACCUGCAAAGGACAGGGAUUAGGGCCCUUAGGUACACUACUCUGCACCCAGGAGUUACAAAUCACUAACACUCUGAACUGUGACUUUUCUGGCGUCCCAUUCAGAUGAUUUUUAUGAUGUAUGUGGUUUUUAUUUGCUCUGUGGGCUUGCACAAGCCAUCCUAAGACCUUCAUGGUAAAAUUUCAAUCCUGUCUCAAAUUGACAGUUUAAACCCUUAAUAAAGCCUUAUAUUUUAAAGCACACAUACACACACACACAUACAUGUCAGGCCUCUGAACCCAAGCCAAGCCAUCGCAUCCCCUGUGACUUGCAUGUAUAUGCCCAGAUGGCCUGAAGUAACUGAAGAAUCACAAAAGAAGUGAAAACGCCCUGCCCCGCCUUAACUGAUGACAUUCCACCAUUGUGAUUUGUUCCUGCCCCACCUUAGCUGAGUGAUUAACCCUGUGAAUUUCCUUCUCCUGGCUCAGAAGCUCCCCGACUGAGCACCUUGUGACCCCCGCCCCUGCCCACCAGAGAACAACCCCCUUUGACUGUAAUUUUCCAUUACCUUCCCAAAUCCUAUAAAACGGCCCCACCCCUAUCUCCCUUCGCUGACUCUCUUUUCGGACUCAGCCCGCCUGCACCCAGGUGAAAUAGACAGCCAUGUUGCUCACACAAAGCCUGUUUGCUGGUCUCUUCACACUGACUCGAGUGAAAUUUGGUGCCGUGACUAGGAUCGGGGGACCUCCCUUGGGAGAUCAAUCCCCCGUCCUCCUACACUUUGCUCUGUGAGAAAGAUCCACCUACAACCUCAGGUCCUCAGACCAACCAGCCCAAGAAACAUCUCACCAAUUUCAAAUCCGGUAAGCGGCCUCUUUUUACUCUUUUCUCCAGCUUCCCUCACUGUCCCUCAACCUCUUUCUCCUUUCAAUCUUGGUGCCACACUUCAAUCUCUCCCUUCUCUUAAUUUCAAUUCCUUUCAUUUUCUGGUAGAGACAAAGGAGACACGUUUUAUCCGUGGACCCAAAACUCCGGCGCCAGUCACGGACUGGGAAGGCAGCCUUCCCUUGGUGUUAAAUCACUGCAGGGACGCCUCUCUGAUUAUUCACCCAUGUUUCAAAGGUGUCAGACCACGCAGGGACGCCUGCCUUGGUCCUUCACCCUUAGUGGCAAGUCCUGCUUUUCUGGGGAAGGGGCAAGUACCCCAACCCCUUCUCUCUGUGUCUCUACCCCUUCUCUGCUUUUCUGGGGGAGGGGCAAGUACCCCUCAACCCCUUCUCCUUCACCCUUAGUGACAAGUCCUGCUUUUCUAGGAGGCAAGAACCCCCAAUCCCUUAUUUCCACACCCUGACCUCUUAUCUCUGUGCCCCAAUCCCUUAUUUCCACACCCCAACCUCUUAUCUCUGUGCCCCAAUCCCUUAUUUCCGUGCCCCAACCCCCCUUCCCACUUUUCUGGAGGAUAAGAACCCCCGAACCCCUUCCCUCCGUGUCUCUAUGCUCUCUUUUCUCUGGGUUUGCCUCCUUCACUAUGGGCAACCUUCCACCUACCAUUCCUCCUUCUUCUCCUUUAGCCUAUAUUCUUAAGAAUUUAAAACCUCUUCAACUCUCACCUGACCUAAAAUCUAAGCAUCUUAUUUUCUUCUGCAAUGCCACUUGACCCCAAUACAAACUUGACAGUAGUUCCAAAUAGCCAGAAAAUGGCACUUCCAAUUUUUCCAUCCUACAAGAUCUAAAUAAUUCUUUUCGUAAAAUGGGCAAAUGGUCUGAGGUGCCUGACAUCCAGGCAUUCUUUUACACAAUAGUCCCUUCCUAGUCUCUGUGCCCAGUGCAACUUCUCCCAAAUCUUCCUUCUUUCCCUCCUGCCUGUCCCCUCAGUCCCAACCCCAAGCAUCGCUGAGUCUUUCUAAUCUUCCUUUUCUACAGACCCAUCUGACCUCUCCCCUCCUUGCCAGGCCAAGCUACGUCCCAAUUCUUCCUCAGCCUCCGCUCCUCCACCCUGCAAUCUUUUUAUCACCUCCCCUCCUCACACCUGGUCCUGCUUACAGUUUCAUUCUGUGACUAGCCCUCCCCCACCUGCCCAGCAAUUUACUCUUAAAAAAGUGGCUGGAGCCAAAGGCAUAGUCAAGGUUAAUGCUCCUUUUUCUUUAUGCCAAAUCAGAAGUGUUUAGGCUCUUUUUCAUCAAAUAUAAAAACCCAGCCCAGUUCAUGGCUCGUUUGGCAGCAACCCUGAGACGCUUCACAGCCCUAGACCCUAAAAGGUCAAAAGGCCAUCUUAUUCUCAAUAUACAUUUUAUUACCCAAUCUGCUCCUAACAUUAAAUAAAACCCCAAAAAUUGGAAUCUGGUCCUCAAACCCCACAACAGGACUUAAUUAACCUCACCUUCAAGGUGUACAAUAAUAAAAAAAAGUUGCAAUUCCUUGCCUCCACUGUGAGACAAAGCCCAGCCACAUCUCCAGCACACAAGAACUUCCAAACCCCUGAACUGCAGCAGUCAGGCAUUCCUCCAGAACCUCCUCCCCCAGGAGCUUGCUACAAGUGCCAGAAAUCUGACCACCAGGCCAAGGACUGCCGGCAGCCCAGGAUUCCUCCUAAGCCACGUCCCAUCUGUGUGGGACCCCACUGCAAAUCGGACUGUUCAACUCACCUGGCAGCCACUCCCAGAGCCCCUGGAACUCUGGCCCAAGGCUCUCUGACUGACUCCUUCCCAGAUCUUCUCGGCUUAGCGGCUGAAGACUGACACUGCCCGAUUGCCUCGGAAGCCCCCUAGACCAUCAUGGACGCCGAGCUUCAGGUAACUCUCACAGUGGAAGGUAAGCCCGUCCCCUUCUUAAUCAAUAUGGAGGCUACCCACUCCACAUUACCUUCUUUUUAAGGGCCUAUUUCCGUUGCCUCCAUAACUGUUGUGGGUAUUGACGGCCAGGCUUCUAAACCUCUUAAAACUCCCCAACUCUGGUGCCAACUUAGACAAUACUCUUUUAAGCACUCCUUUUUAGUUAUCCCCACCUGCCCAGUUCCCUUAUUAGGCUGAGACACUUUAACUAAAUUAUCUGCUUCCCUGACUAUUCCUGGACUACAGCUAUAUCUCAUUGCCGCCCUUCUUCCCAAUCCAAAGCCUCCUUUGCAUCCUCCUCUUGUAUCUCCCCAACUUAACCCACAAGUAUAAGAUACCUCUACUCCCUCCUUGGUGACCGAUCAUGCACCCCUUACCAUCUCAUUAAAACCUAAUCACCCUUACCCCACUCAACGCCAAUAUCCCAUCCCACAGCACGCUUUAAAAAGAUUAAAGCCUGUUAUCACUGGCCUGCUACAGCACAGCCUUUUAAAGCCUAUAAACUCUCCUUACAAUUCACCCAUUUUACCUGUCCUAAAACCAGACAAGCCUUACAACUUAGUUCAGGAUCUAUGCCUUAUCAACCAAAUUGUUUUGCCUAUCCACCCCGUGGUGCCAAAACCAUAUACUCUCCUAUCCUCAAUCCCUGCCUCUACAACCCAUUAUUCUGUUCUAGAUCUCAAACAUGCUUUCUUUACUAUUCCUUUGCACCCUUAAUCCCAGCCUCUCUUCGCUUUCACUUGGACUGACCCUGACACCCAUCAAGCUCAGCAAAUUACCUAGGCUGUACUGCCGCAAACCUUCACAGACAGCCCCCAUUAUUUCAAUCAAGCCCAAAUUUCUUCCUCAUCUGUUACCUAUCUUGGCAUAAUUCUCAUAAAAACACACAUGCUCUCCCUGCCAUUCUUGUCAGACUGAUCUCUCAAACCCCAGCACCUUCUACAAAACAACAACUCCCUUCCUUCCUAGGCAUAGUUGGUGCAGUCAGAAUUCUUACACAAGAGCCAGGACCGCACCCUGUAGCCUUUCUGUCCAAACAACUUGACCUUACUGUUUUAGCCUAGCCCUCAUGUCUGCGUGCAGCGGCUGCCGCUGCUUUAAUACCGUUAGAGGCCCUAAAAAUCACAAACUAUGCUCAACUCACUCUCUACAUUUCUCAUAACUCCCAAAAUCUAUUUUCUUCCUCAUACCUGAUGCAUAUACUUUCUGCUCCCUGGCUCCUUCAGCUGUACUCACUCUUUAAGUCCUACAAUUACCAUUGUUCCUGGCCCGGACUUCAAUAAGGCCUCUCACAUUAUUCCUGAUACCACACCUGACCCCCAUGACUGUAUCUCUCUGAUCCACCUGAUAUUCACCAUUUCCCCAUAUUUCCUUCUUUCCUGUUCCCCACCCUGAUCACGCUUGAUUUAUUGAUGGCAGUUCCACCAGGCCUAAUCGCCACACACAAGCAAAGGCAGGCUAUGCUGUAGUACAAGCCACUAGCCCGCCUCUCAGAACCUCUCAUUUCCUUUCCAUCCUGGAAAUCUAUCCUCAAGGAAAUAACUUCUCAGUGUUCCAUCUGCUAUUCUACUACUCCUCAGGGAUUAUUCAGGCCCCCUCCCUUCCCUACACAUCAAGCUUGAGGAUUUGCCCCCACCCAGGACUGGCAAAUUAGCUUUACUCAACAUUCCGGAGCCAGGAAACUAAAAUACCUCUUAGGCUGAAUAGACACUUUCACUGAAUAAGUAAAGGCCUUUCCUACAGGGUCUGAGAAGGCCACCGCAGUCAUUUCUUCCCUUCUGUCAGACAUAAUUCCUCAGUUUAGCCUUCCCACCUCUAUACAGUCUGAUAACAGACCAGCCUUUAUUAGUCAAAUCAGCCAAGCAGUUUUUCAGGCCCUUAGUAUUCAGUGAAACCUUUACAUCCUUUACGGUCCUCCGUCUUCAAGAAAAGUAGAAUGGACUAAAGGUCUUUUAAAAACACACCUCACCAAGCUCAGCCACCAACUUAAAAAGGACUGGACAAUACUUUUACCACUUUCGCUUCUCAGAAUUCAGGCCUGUCCUCAGAAUGUUACAGGAUACAGCCCAUUUAAGCUCCUGUAUAGAUGCUCCUUUUUAUUAGGCCCCAGUCUCAUUCAACACCAGACCAACUUAGACUGUGCCCCAAAAAAACUUGUCAUCCCUACUAUCUUCUGUCUAGUCAUACUCCUAUUCACCAUUCUCAACUACUCAUACAUGCCCUGCUCUUGUUUACACUGCCGGUUUACACUGUUUCUCCAAGCCAUCACAGCUGAUAUCUCCUGGUGCUAUCCCCAAACUGCCACUCUAAACUCUUGAAGUAAAUAAAUAAUCUUUGCUGGCAAGGCUAGGCUGAACCUCCUUGGGCACUCUCUAAUCAGAUGUCCUAGGUCCUCCCAAUUCUUAGACCUUUUAUACCUGUUUUUCUCCUUCUCUUAUUCCAUUUAGUUUUUCAAUUCAUACAAAACCGUAUCCAGGCCAUCACCAAUCAUUCUAUACGACAAAUGUUUCUUCUAACAACCCCACAGUAUCACCCCUUACCGCAAGAUCUUUCUUCAGCUUAAUCUCUCCCACUCUAGGUUCCCACACCGCCCCUAAUCCCACUCAAAGCACCCCUGAGAAACAUCGCCCAUUCUCUCUCCAUACCACCUGCAAAAAUUUUCGCCGCCCCAACACUUCAACACUAUUUUGUUUUAUUUUUCUUAUUAAUAAAAGAAGGCAGGAAUGUCGGGCCUCUGAGCCCAAGCCAAGCCAUCGCAUCCCCUGUGACUUGCAUGUAUAUGCCCAGAUGGCCUGAAGUAACUGAAGAAUCACAAAAGAAGUAAAAAGGCCCUGCCCUGCCUUAACAGAUGACAUUCCACCAUUGUGAUUUGUUCCUGCCCCACCUUAGCUGAGUGAUUAACCCUGUGAAUUUCCUUCUCCUGGCUCAGAAGCUCCCCGACUGAGCACCUUGUGACCCCCGCCCCUGCCCACCAGAGAACAACCCCCUUUGACUGUAAUUUUCCAUUACCUUCCCAAAUCCUAUAAAAUGGCCCCACCCCAUGUCCCUUCGCUGACUCUCUUUUUGGACUCAGCCCGCCUGCACCCAGGUGAAAUAGACAGCCAUGUUGCUCACACAAAGCCUGUUUGCUGGUCUCUUCACACGGACUCGAGUGAAAAUACACACGCACACACACACAAAUGGACAUUUACCCCACUCCUGCUUUUGUGCUAUUGUGGUCAUGCAUAGUAUUUCUUUUUUGCUGUUGUUUUUCUUGUUGUUUUCACUGUCAUACAGGUAUUUAUGAUGGAAACAGAAUCAGAGUCUGACCUUCCUGACUUGAAGUACAAGGUUUUUGGGGUUUUUCAUUCGUGUUUUAUGUGUUUUUUAAAAAAUUAUUUGUGUUUUUAAUCGACAAAUAAAAACUGUAUACACAUAUGCUUCCUGAUUUAUAAUGGGGAUACAUCCCAAGAAACCUACUGUAAGUUGAAAAUAAUGUAAGUCAAACAUGCACUUAGUAAACCUAGCUUACCAAACAUCAUAGCUUAACCUAGCCUAGGUUAAACAUUCGUGGGACACUUACAUUAGUCUACAGUUAGGCAAAAUCAUCUAAUACAUAGCCUACUUUCUAAUAAAGUUAUUAGAAAGGAUUUUUAUUCAAAAAUCAAAAUAUGGUUUCUACUUAAUGUUUAUUGCUUUCACAUCAUCGUAAAGUGGAAAAAUAUAGGUCAAGCCAUCGUAAGUCAAGGAAUGUUGGUAUAUCGUAAUGGUGUACAUGAUAUUUUGAAAUAUGUAUACUUUAAUAGCUAUAGUGAGCUAAUUAACAUAUGAAUUGCCUCACAUUCUUAUCAUUUAUUUGUGGUGAGUAGAUAUAAAAUCUACUCUUUUAGCAAUUUUUAAGUAUGCAAUACACUAUUGGAAGGGUCUCUGGCUAAGUUAGUUUUCUUUCUGAACGGACAUUUCUCACUAACAAGUGCAGAAAUUCCCUGUGAACAGGGGAAGCGGUAAUGCUGACAACAAAACUCAGAUGUAAAUUUAGAAUAAAAAAGGGCUCAUGGUUGACUGCUUUGGGCUAUACUUCCAUAAUCUCUCAAAAAAAAAGUAAGGUAUUGUCCUCUGGAGUAUUUUGAUGGAAAAUUUUAGGAAGACUUGAUAAUCUGUAAAAGUUGUAGGCUUGAGAUCCUAAAAGAUCUGUAUCUAAAUUCAUGUAUUCUACAGAAGUUUACUUAAUUACUCCAGGUUUAUUUUUCCUUACUUGUGAGGUAAAUGUUGUAAUACACAUCUACCUCACAAAGGUGUUGUGAGAAUUCAAUGAUAUGUUAUUUAUAAAGAAAGUAUUGAUUACCUUCCUUCUGUCCCAGUGAUAGAUCACAACAAGAGAUCAUGAAGAGGGCAUGGCCGCCAUGUCAUUCUGGAGAGAGACAGAGUAAAACAAAGAAGGUGAUGGAGUCUUGUUCUGCAACCCAGGCUGGAGUGGAGGGCAGUGGUGUGAUCUCGGCUCACUUCAACCUCCGCCUCUUAGGUUCAAGUGAUUCUCCUGCCUCAGCCUCCCGAGUAGCUGGGACUACAGCAGCCUCUCUACAAGUCUCCUAACUUAACCUGAUGGGAAAACACUUCCUACCACUAACAGCAUCUACUUGAUUACUGAUACUUUGAUCAUGGAGUUUGGGCAUGCCACUUGAUAGAAAUUUGAAGAGCAAUUAUAUUUUUCAAAAAGAGUUUUGAAUAAUGUUAAGAUAGAUUGCAACAUGACUAUCAAUUCUUCCCUUCCCAUCAAAGGAGAGAGUCCGUUUAUCCAGCCUUUGAAUCUUGAUUAUUCAUGUGACUUGCUUCACCCAAUGUAACAUUAAUAAGCACAAUACAAGCAGAGGCUUGCCAAGAACUUGGUUUGUUUCUAAUGCUUAGAAGAAGAAUGGUGUAUGCCAUAUUUCUGCAUUUAGAACUCACGUGGAGACAUGUGUGGCCCAAUUGCUUCUCUUUCAUCUCAGGCAAUAACCAGACACGGGACUGAGGCCAUCCAUGACCAGCCAGCCCUAGCCAACACACAACACACAAGCUGAUCACAGAUGCAUGAGUAAGCCUGAGACCAGCCAAGACCAGCCUAGAAUAGAACUGCUCAGCAGCAAUAAAAACUAAAUAAAUUGUUACCUUAAGCUACUUUUAGAGCUAUUUGGAAGUGUAUUUUUGUGCAGCUAACAUUUACUAGCAGAUAAAAUGGUGAUUGUUUAUCUCUGUUUUAUUGAUGUUUUAAGGAAAUUGUUUCUAUUAAAAGGAAAUAUCUGGUCUUUGUCACGUUAAAUCAGGUUUAGCCUGAAGUUGUCUCCUUAAAUUUGCGGCACAACUCCCACCCUGCAAUACUUCAAAUUGUUUCACCUUUUUUGACAGAACCAAGGUAUAUCUUAAAUGUACUUGAUUGAUGUCUCAUGUCUCCCUAAAAUGUAUAAAACCAAACUGUGCUCUGACUACCUUGGGUACAUGUUCUGAGGGUCUCCUGAAGGCUGUGUCACAGGCCAUGGUCUUUCAUAUUUGGCUUAAAACAAAUCUCUUCAAAUAUUUUAUGUAGUUUGACUCUUUUCCUCAAUAGAACUCAUCAUUUAACCAGUUAAGUAUUUUGAGUUAGUUUGGGAUUAAACACGAGAGUUUUGACAGGGAGCUGAAACAAUAGUAGUUUCAUCAAAAGUUGAUUCUUGGUGCAUGUAAUUUUCUAUUACAGUGAACACAGAUAAUAAUGAUGCAUAUGUCUUUACCUAGAUUAGAGAAAGGAAGAGAAAAAAUAAAAAUUUUGGAAAUGAGAUAAAAAGAUAUUGAUCUCACUGAUGUUUCUGAAUCUAAGACUGAACUCAAUUAUUAGUUGUAUUUACUGCUUAUUAGAUUUACUAAGAAAGUUCUUUAAGGUACUUACAGCCCUAAAAUUAUUUGCAAUAUUCAAUAGCAAGGGACUUAAAUACAGUCCUGAUUACUCCAUCACAAAAUGCCAAAAACAAUUAGGAUCUUAAAGGAACUACCCAAAUAGGUUUAAGAUAUCACUCAGGCCAUAAAAAUGUUUUUAAAAUUCACAUCACAAAAUAGCCAAAUGACAUAUCAGAAACAAAAGCAAAAAAGUCAUCCUAAUUCAAGGCAAUUACUUUAGCAAUUCAAAAUAAAAUGUUAAAAGUGACCAAAAAACAAAUGCAAAAUAUUUUAAUGACUUUAAAUGGCUGUAUAAUUUCCUCAUCACUUCACUUGGCAGAGUUAAGAUGGCAUUUAACCUAAGUUCACAUCAUUAAAAAAAACACUGCACCAUGAUGCUUUUCUUAAUAUGCAUUCUCAAAUUAGCAUACAGAGAAAAAUGAAACUAUAGUAGAGACGUAAAUUUAAUCCCUAUUUAGGUCACUAGGCAUUUAUUAGCCCCACCACAGGUUAAUACACUUGCAUUUGCAUCUGUUUCUAAAUGCUAAUUAUCUGACCUCAGAACACUCACUUAUGGGCUUCAUUUAUUGAAAAACAAAUCCCUAUGAUUUGAUCGUAGAGUAACUUUUAAUGUCUAACUUUACGUAGUAUAUUACAGUUUUCAAAACAUUUUUAUAAAAAGUAUUUUGUUUAUUUACAGCAACUAUAUAUCAUAGAUAUUAAUGUGUAUAUUUUGCAUUUAAGCAAGUUGGAGUUCGUAAGGUUGAAUUACUUGAAAUGUACAAAUAGAUAGUAGUGAAUAUUUAAAGUACAUUUUUAAAAAUAUGACCCAGAAAAAUAGGUGGCAUUUAAGAAAUAUAAGCAUGGUAUCUAUCUUACAUGUAUAUUAGGAGUGGACAGUUUUCUAAGAUUAGAAGCAAACAGUUGUCAAGCAAGGGUUCUAAUUUUUGUAAGUCUUGUGGGAAAGAAAGAUAAUAGAGGGUUUCAUUGCAAAGAUAUAAAACUACUCUAGAUAAUUUAAGCAAAAACUAAUCUAAUAAAUUGGGUUUUCCAAAUUAUUGAAACACCUUGAGAACUAGUGCCUGGGUAGGCCUGGAGAAAUGACUCCAGGAACAGCAUUACAGAACUCACCUGCCCAGUGGUAACAGUGCCCAGAUUGCUCUUCUCCAUUAUCCAGCCAGAGUUCCAGAUCAGCCUGAAUACUUCACCUCUGGGAAGACUUUGCAGAACCUCCAGAUUUAUGCCACCUCUAUAACCUGUGUAAUAUUAUUACAAUGCAUAUUAUGUUCUAUUUCACUUACAGUCAGCCCUCCUUAUCUGUGGGUUCCACAAACAUGGAUUCAACCCACAGUAAAAUGAAAAUAUUUGGGGAAAAAAUUAAUGUUUGAGUCUGUAUUGAACACGUAGACUUUUUCUUGUCACUGUUCCCUAAACAAUACAGUAUAACAACUAUUUACAUAGUAUUUACAUUAUAUUGGGCAUUAUAAGUAAUUAAAGAUGAUUUAAGUAUAUGGAAAGAUGUAUAUAGGUUAUAUGCAAGUACUGUGCCAUUUUAUAUAAAGCACUUGAACAUCACAGAUUUUGGUAUCAAUGAGGGGUGCUGAAACCAAUUGCCCAUGGAUACCAAGAGACAGCUAUAUUUGUUUCAAUGUGUACCUCUCCUUCUAAACUCAGUUCUUAAGCAUAUAGUAUCUUUAUAGCUAUACACCUAGUGUCUAUCAGACCCUAAACUAUGGUAGGCCCUCAAUACAUUUUAUUGUUAUAGGUAGAUAGAUAGGCAUGAGUAGGGCAGGAGAGGGCUCUCCCUCCACCCACUAGAAAUGUCAAGUGAUGUUUUAAAAAUUGUCACACUGCCUCUCAGAAAAUGAUAAUUCAGCAACCGGGGAGAGACAAUCUUCUGAUGGUCCACACCUAUUAACAUUAAAGUGUUAUUAAAGGCAGACCCCAGAAAGAAGAAACUUACUGGGCAUGCACAUUAAGAGAUAAAAACGGCAAAAUAUUAUCUUCCACGUACCCACAACUGGAAAAAAGGAAGAAAGCUUCAGGUGGGCAUAUGUACUCUUCCUAAACACACUGCGCAUGCUCACUUCCCAACUGUAGAGAGGGCUCUGCACAUACGGGAAGAAUCUCGGGAAAGAGGUGAACCUAUAAAAGGCCAAGAAUCAUGGUUGAACGGGACAUUUGACCUUCUCUCUUAAACCUUCAUGUGCCUGCUUGGGUCUCUUCCAACUGCACCUUCCUUUCUUUCCUGUUCUAAGGCCUUUUUAAAUAAACUUCCACUCAUGCUCUG
rnacentral:lncRNA from 1 species